rnacentral:rRNA from 1 species
UACAGAGGUCCCGAGCGUUUGUUCGGAUUCACUGGGCGUAAAGGGUGCGUAGGUGGUGAGGUAAGUCGGAUGUGAAAUCUCCGGGCUCAACCCGGAAAUGGCAUUGGAAACUACCUUGCUGGAGGAUUUGAGGGGGGGAUUGGAAUACUUGGUGUAGCAGUGAAAUGCGUAGAUAUCAAGUGGAACACCAGUGGCGAAGGCGAAUCCCUGGAAAAUACCUGACACUGAGGCACGAAAGCUAGGGGAGCAAACAGG